AGUCAGAAAAUCCAGCAGGUUGUCCUCCUCUGCAGUGUUGCUCUCCCGGAGUUCCAUUCAGUGCCAUUAGCCAAGUACCUCAUUACCUUCUCCAGUUUCAUGAUUUUAUUCUCAGAAAAACAAAAAUGCAGGCCCAUAACUCUUUGGUUGGCCCAUGAUAAAGGGCAAAAGCCUGAAAGACUAGCAGAGAGAGUCUUCUGGUGCCCUCAGGAGGCCAGCAGGAGUGGGUCCUGUAACUAUCGCCCUUUGCAGAGCCAGUACGCCUCUUCUGUUCCCUCAAGAGGAACCUCCAAAUGUCUUUUCUUACUCUUUCUCACCAGUCCUCUACCUGUCAGUACAUCCUGUCCCUUCUUCUGAUCCUAAAGUAGAAAGACCUACAAUGUCAAGAGCAGUAGUUUUUCAAUUGCCUUAGGUUGGUAUCAUUGAAACAGUAGAUCUGAUGCAUCGUCUUUUUAGCGUUAACACUUUACAAUUAUGUAUUUGAUUCUAUAUUCUUUUUCUUGAAUGUUACAGAGUCUAUAAUCUUAUUAUAUUUGAAAACAGUGCCCUGAAUUAUACUUUACUACACUUAAUGUCUUUCUAUUUGAAAACUUUAACCUUGUUGUUUGGUAGUUUGAGUUCUUUAAGCUUGUUGAGAAUGUUAAGCUUGUUGUUUAGUAGUUGCUAUGGAAUGAGGUCCUGAGUUUUAAGUCAGUUCUUUCUUUGUAUUAUGUGUCAGCUGUGACCCAGGACCUCAGUGCUAGUCCAGCAUAUAUUCUGGUCCAUGAUUGUUGUGGAAAACCCAAGGCAGAGCUCGGUUUCCUGCCAACUCUUCUCCAGAAAGCUGUGAUUAUUAGAAAUAGCAAUGUUGAUUUCUGGUACAAAAAGAAGCUUGUGAUUUCCUCACUUCUAUAAAAUACUUUCUGAACCGAAGAACAUUUGCACGUCUCCAAAGGCUCCCCUAUUACAGUGUGAAUGUCAGCUGCUCCUUCCCAAGUGAGACCGGGUGGUUUUUCCCAUCAUCUGUAUAUACAGCUGAGUUACUUUCUGGUUCCUUCCCUGGCCCUUUUCUCCUCUACAGUCCUAAUCCAUUCCAACUAUCCUGUGGCCUCAAAUUAGUAAGAAAUUUUUCUUAACUUUUUCUAUCAUAAUUAUAUCUCUCAUUUUUUUUCUGAUGGGAGUAGCGGUGAUAUUAUCCCAGUGAACACAUAUGCACCCAUGGAAAUAUCCUCUAAGGAGCGUCCUAUUUCUGUCUGGUAAGCAAUGAGGAGACACAGUGCUGACUUUUCUGCACCUUAGUUAUCCAGUCAUCCAUUGACCCUUCAGGCCAAGCCAGAGCCCCUGUACAAGGAAGACUGGGAGAAGGUACUGGGUCAGUUUGCCGGUAGAAGUUGGAAGGUGUGUGCUGAACACCAUGAAAGUGGAAGUAGCCAUGUAGGGUGGGUGUUUUGUGUGCCAGCCAACACCAUUCAGAGAAAUCUGUUCAGGUUCCAGGGCCAUUACUUUUUACCUUUUCUCAAGAUCAACCAACAUCCUCAAGGGCACUGUUUUUCAAACUAUAAGUCUUGACCCAUUAGUGGUCCAUGAAAUCAAUUUAACAGCUCAAGCCCUGAAUAUUUCAAAAGUGGAAUAGAAGAGAGCUAUGCAUGGAGCAAGAUCAAACAUUGUUAAAUACUCUAUAUACUGUGUAUACUAGGUCACAAUAUAAAAUGUUAUUUCCUAUUGUGAAUUGCAGUUUAAAGAAACACAAAACUAAAACAAAAAUGAAAACCUUGAGGCCAUUGCAAGUGGAAGUGCAGGCUGGCCAGUGAUUGUUGAAACAUUCGGACUGUGUGGAGCCUGACCUCAAAUAGGCUCAAAGAGCCACCACUCAGGGAGUCUGCAGAUUGGGAGCGCUCUUGAUCUCUAGAGUGAGAAGAUGGGAUAGCUCUUGUUUUGGUUUAUAAAAUGUUUUCCUUUCAUGGUGUGUAAAACCAGGCAUCAGUGGGACCAGAAAAAGAAUAGAAAAGUUCGAUCCACAAACAGUGCCCCAAAAGGCCACAGGAUAUUAACUUGAUGCAUUUCAGCCUGCCUCCUACUAAGCAUUUUACUAGGAGUGGAGACAGAGGUUCUCCUUUGAAUUUGCUUCAUCUACCUUCUCUCGGAUUCAUCAUACAGGUAGCAAAGGCCCUUAAAAAUAGGGAGCUAGUAUACACAGGUUACAUUCUUCCGGGGCCAAACUGCUCAUUCAUUGGAGGGUGCUAUAAAAAUGCCAAUGCAAUUUAGCUGAAAAUAAUUAGAUUUCCUCAUUUCUGUGGGAUUCAAGUAGGAAAUGUAGAUAACCUGCAUUCCUUAUGCAGUAUUCAAUACACAAUUUAUUCAUCCUGAUUUUCUUCGGUGCUACCCUGUUUAUCACUUAAAGCUCCUUUCCAUAUUCUUAAGGGAAGCAUUUACCCUCUGGGCCACACCUUUGAAAUGAUGCCUUGCUGCUAAUGCUAACCUAAUCAAGUGGGCAUUAAUCUGUUAAAUUUCUUAUGAUUCUUGUUAUCUACAUUUUUGAUAAUUGGCUGUUAGUGCAGCUAUUAGUGCAGACUUUCCCCCCGUACUUUUCUGCCACAAUUGGUAUAAAGUAGUACUUGUUUCAGGGCUCUCCUUCAAGCAGCUCAGCACACGUACUGAGAAGAUACUGGGUCUUAUGUGAUUUGUUACUUGCCCUUGAGUUGGCUCUGACUCCUGGCGACUCUGAAUGAGUGAUGUCCACAGUGUCCUGUCCUCGGCAGCCCUGCUCAGCUCCUGUAGUCUCCUGCCUAUGGCUUCUUUAAUGCAGUCAAUACACCUACUUGUUCUUCCUCUUUUCCUGCUGCCUUCUGUUUUCCCCAACAUCAUUGUUUUUUCCAAAGAAUCCUGCCUUCUCAUAAUGUGCCCAAAGUAGGACAGUCCUACGCUAUUACAAACCUCCUUCAUGUUUCUUUACUUGAAACAAUUUUUACUUUAUUGCCUCCUUUGUAAAAUAAAUUGUUCUAUAUUGUUUUUUUAAAGUUUUACUUUAGAAUUACAGAUUCGUUCUUUUUUAAAAAGCAUUAUGACAUUUUCCAAAAAAAGAUAAUUUUGGUUACCUGAAGAGCUAUAUGAGAGGUGUAACUUCAAAUUUUAUCGAUUGAUAGGAGUGUGUUUAAAUUCUUUUUACUUUAUACAAAUACAAAUUUUAUUAUAGUUUAACACCUGCUAUGAUAGACUUCUGUCAACCUGUCACUGAGCACCAUUCAUUUAGUAUUGCUCUGCUCCCUUAAUAAUGUGUUUCUCCUAAGGGUGUUCCUUGCAACAAGAAACCCUGUGUGAGUGAUAUAAUAAAAAGUCUAAUAAUCAUAACUGUACUUAAAGUAGAAUAUGUUGGAAAACCUCAACAUUUCUUAAUAUGCUAUCAUACCACCAGCAUCCCAUUGGCUACCCCAAGGUUACCAAUUUGGGGACUGAAAAACAUCCAAGUGAAAAUGUAGAUGACAUUGAAAUGGCAAUAAUUUCAUAUCCAUACUCACAAACUAUCAGAAAUUGUAUCUGGGGCUUGUUGCAAGGUCAGAUAGAUUGUCACAGACUUUUUUAAAUAGUCAUAUCUGGAUGUAAAUAUGUAAAUUACAUAUAAAAAUGAAUUUUUCAGGGAAUGUGCACUUUAAAACUGAUUAAUUUUUGUAUUAAUCAAAUAGUGCUUCUUUGGAAUGCUUAUUCUUUGGUAAAAUACAGUCAUUGAUGAUGAUAAUUUAUUUAUUAAAUGGCUCUUUCUGUAUCUGCAGUAUUUCCUUCACUCUUGUGUUCCUUAUCCCUUUUAUGUGGGCUCCUGGCCCGAUUGCCUGUUACACAGUCUCUGCUUUUGUGCAUUCUGAUAAGAUAGUUUAUAAACACAAAUGUUUACAAUGAAGUUCUUCCUUUUGAAAUUGAUGUAUUUUUCCCCCCUUUGGUUGGUUAUGCUCACUAAUGACUAAUUUUUCUAAACAAUAAUUAUUUCUUGCUAUUGGUAGGAUUAAAUUACUUGGUCAGGUGAUUGCCCGGUUUAAUUAUGUAUAUCAUUUUUAAAUAAAUUAAGUCAAAUAAAGAUUUCUGGUUUUUCAGUCCUCCUCUGUUUUUCCUUAAUUGGAUCGAACUAGAAAUAUUACCAAUAAUCUUUUCCUUGCCUACCUAAACCCUACCCUUUUUGGGGCCUAAAUAAGUGUGGACAUCUAACAGAUUGCCAAGGUCCUGAUUUUUCCGUCAAAGCCAGCGACAGUAUCCAGCCCAGCAUGAUUGUUGCUGGCUAAAAGCUUGAGAGCAUCAAGACUGUGCCUCUCAACCUCAGAAAACUUCAGAUGGCUCAUUUCCUCAGUAAGUAAUGAGUAUCUUCUGAAAGAAGGGCUAGGAGGGUAUUUUCUUCCUGCAGAAUUAACAUUGACAGAAAUAGUUAAUUCACCUUUGAUAGGGAGAGUUCAGCCUUUUCCUUAAGAAGAUUCUUCACUACCUUUGGUUACGAUUUAUUUGACAGCCCUCUGCAAUUACAAGUGAUCAAAAGCCAUCAUCUUCUCGCAUGCUUUGUCAGCCAAAGGUAAGUUAAAAAUAACAAUAACUUGAUGCUAGAAAGUGCCUUAAAUUUUUUGAAUUCCCCUCAUUACUGAUUCUUUUGAGCCCUUUUCCUGUUAGUUGGGCGAUCAGAAGCAGUUCAUGAUGUUUAGUGCAUGGUGCCCACCCCCCUCCCUGUACCCAGCGUUGUCUUCUUUUUUCUGUUUCUAGAUAUCCUUAAGAGCUAUUUUCCAAUCUUUGUUCUCUCAUGCAAAUUUUCCUGGUUAUUUCUGGGCCUUUACUAUUCCAGAUAAAACUUUGACAUCAGUUUCUCAGGUUUCACAAAAACUUGCAUUUGCAUUCAUUUCUUGAAGUUUAUAAAGCUUAAUGUUGCAACAGUAGGAUCACUUGCUAUCAGCAUAAUUCCUUUCUCUCCCAACAUUGAUGCUCUUGCCUUUAAUAGCCUCUCACUUGGAAGAGAUCCAGCAGAAUGAGAACCCGGCUGCCUUAACUGCUGAUAGAAGACUUAGUACCGUUCCGGGAACACCAACACACUGUUCCACAGCACACCUCACUAAUCUGGUUUGGCAACUCAUGAGGGGACCCGCUGAGACGCCACUCUUGCUCUGGAGCCUGCAGACAGGACCCUGGAACCCUUGCAGAAGCAGCCCAGGAUAAGAAGCCUGCUCUCCCGAAUCUCUGUACUGCCCCAUGGAGAGAGGACAGGAAAAAUCAUCUGCCCGUUCCUUCCCAUCAUUUAGGUAAGCAGGAAACAAUAUUUGUAUGAACUAGUCCCUUGGGCAUAGAUGUUGGUAAAGAUUUUAUUAUACGCUCGUUUUCUAUUGAUCCCUCCCCUCCCAGAGAUGUCUUCUCUUAUCUCUGUCUUUUGUGUUGUUUGUCAUAAGGAGGAAAACCAUAGGCCAGAUGAGGUUUUCCUCCUGUCUUAAUCUAUGUCUUAAGAACUUGGCCUUUUGACCAGUUCAAAAAUACUCUGUGGUCUCCACCAGCUGGAAGAUGCCAGUAUGGGCUUGUCUCUAGCAGCCAACCGAAUAGGCUGGGAAUCAGACACACAACAUGGAUUGUCUUGGACUAUUGGUCUGCUCCUGAUAAAAGAUUGUGAAGGGUUUUCCACUUUUAGGUAAUUUGCCUAAGAAAGCAAAGAUUUUGUUUUACUAAAAUAACUAGAAGCCCGGUACACAAAAUUCGUGCAUUGGGGUGGGGGUGUCCCUCA